rnacentral:piRNA from 1 species
UCCCGAUGAUCACGACUAUCAGGGUCUGC